GUAUAAGGUGUAAGUUGUUCUAUGAUCAAGCUAUACAAUUCCAAGUCGUCCAUAACCGCGGACACGGCUUAUCGAUAAGAUGUACACCCUGCAGGGGUUGCCCAAAUGUAACCAUACGCAUGCUCGAACCCACUUACUACAGGUGGAGUCUCACAUCAAGACCGUUCCCAAUGCAAGAGAAAAUUUAAUGGGAGCCACCCAACUAAGCUACCCGUGACGAAGUUCGGCCGUACUCCGAUACGGACCCAGAGGUUUGCGUCGGCUUCCAAGGCGGGCA